rnacentral:rRNA from 1 species
CAACAUUUCGCUCUGCUCCGCUCAAUGAUGCAAGGCUACCGUGGUAACCUGACUACAUUACGAGACGGGCCGGUGUUGCGGCUCACAGCCCUAUUCAGGACACGCAAGCAUCACACCUUCGAUCACGAGAAGCGAUCUUUUACUUUCAUUGCGCCUUUGGCUUUCGUAAUACGGCCAUUGACUCGCGAAAAUGUUAAACUCCUUGGUCCGUGUUUCAAGACGGGUCGGAUGGAACGUCUACUUCAAUACCACGAUUCUUAACAGUAGCUACCUUUCGGACACCACUAUAAUAGCAACAAUAUGUCGAAUAAUAUAACACAUUAUAGUCAGCAAGCAAAGCUAUAAUACGAUACAAACCGAACAAGUCCAGCAUGCAUCCACCUGCCAUCCCAGGCCAAGCAAGCGGUUAAACUCACUAAAACCUGGUUUAACUAUAACGCACAAUCAGACACAUUGAUCGUGAUAACUAUUAUGGAAAAUAACAUAAGAGACUGGCGAUUAGGACCCACAACACGUACACUGCCGAGAAUAAAUGUGAUGGCGAACCAUCAGGUUAUUUUCAAGCCAAUGAAUCCAUUAACCAUGAACAAACAUCUCCAUGCCAAUUUCCACAAUAAGAAGCUUGACUCCACCAGCUUCCAUACAGGCGGCUUCACGUACUAUUUACUCUCUCUUCAGAGUACUUUUCAACUUUCCCUCGCGGUACUUGUCUACUAUCGGAUUCGUGCAGGUAUUUAGCCUUGGAUGGAGUUUACCACCCACUUUGGACUGCAUUCUCAAGCAAUCCGACUCCAAGACAAGAACAUCUAAGGAACACUUCAAAACAUAUAAUCUACCCGUACGGGUCUUUCACCCUCUAUGGAACAAAUCCAAGCCAUAUUCGGAGUUGGACUUCGAGUAGAUAAGUGUCCCCAGGUUCAAGUCUAAACACCACAUGCCUUCCCACCAAUGCAAAGAGCUCGAGUG